rnacentral:rRNA from 1 species
UGGGGAAUAUUGCACAAUGGGCGCAAGCCUGAUGCAGCCAUGCCGCGUGUAUGAAGAAGGUCUUCGGGUUGUAAAGUACUUUCAGCGGGGAGGAAGGGCGUAAAGUUAAUACCUUUACUCAUUGACGUUACCCGCAGAAGAAGCACUGGCUAACUCCGUGCCAGCAGCCGCGGUAAUACGGAGGGUGCAAGCGUUAUUCGGAAUUACUGGGCGUAAAGCGCACGCUGGCGGUUUGUUAAGUCAGAUGUGAAAUCCCCGGGCUCAACCUGGGAAAUGCAUCUGAUACUGGGAAGCUUGAGUCUCGUAGAGGGGGGUAGAAUUCCAGGUGUAGCGGUGAAAUGCGUAGAGAUCUGGAGGAAUACCGGUGGCGAAGGCGGCCCCCUGGGCGAAGACUGACGCUCAGGUGCGAAAGCGUGGGGAGCAAACAGG